AUUGAACGCUGGCGGCAUGCUUUACACAUGUAAGUCGAACGGUAACAGGUUAAGCUGACGAGUGGCGAACGGGUGAGUAAUGCAUCGGAACGUGCCCGAUCGUGGGGGAUAACGCAGCGAAAGCUGCGCUAAUACCGCAUACGAUCUGAGGAUGAAAGCGGGGGACCGUAAGGCCUCGCGCGAUCGGAGCGGCCGAUGUCAGAUUAGGUAGUUGGUGGGGUAAAGGCUCACCAAGCCAACGAUCUGUAGCUGGUCUGAGAGGACGACCAGCCACACUGGGACUGAGACACGGUCCAGACUCCUACGGGAGGCAGCAGUGGGGAAUUUUGGACAAUGGGCGAAAGCCUGAUCCAGCAAUGCCGCGUGCAGGAAGAAGGCCUUCGGGUUGUAAACUGCUUUUGUACGGAGCGAAAAGGUCUCCUCUAAUACAGGGGGCUCAUGACGGUACCGUAAGAAUAAGCACCGGCUAACUACGUGCCAGCCGCCGCGGUAA
rnacentral:rRNA from 1 species